GGUUAAGUGACUAAGCGUACACGGUGGAUGCCUGGGCAGUCAGAGGCGAUGAAGGACGUACUAACUUGCGAUAAGCGCAGAUAAGGCAGUAAGAGCCGUUUGAGUCUGCGAUUUCCGAAUGGGGAAACCCAACUGCAUAAGCAGUUACUGUUAACUGAAUACAUAGGUUAACAGAGCAAACCGGGGGAACUGAAACAUCUAAGUACCCCGAGGAGAAGAAAUCAACCGAGAUUCCGGUAGUAGCGGCGAGCGAACCUGGAUUAGCCCUUAAGCACUCGGUGAAGUAGGUGAACAAGCUGGAAAGCUUGGCGAUACAGGGUGAUAGCCCCGUAACCGACGCUUCAUCGAGCGUGAAAUCGAGUAGGGCGGGACACGUGAUAUCCUGUCUGAAUAUGGGGGGACCAUCCUCCAAGGCUAAAUACUCCUGACUGACCGAUAGUGAACCAGUACCGUGAGGGAAAGGCGAAAAGAACCCCUGUGAGGGGAGUGAAAUAGAACCUGAAACCGUGUACGUACAAGCAGUAGGAGCACCUUCGUGGUGUGACUGCGUACCUUUUGUAUAAUGGGUCAGCGACUUAUAUUCAGUGGCAAGGUUAACCGUAUAGGGGAGCCGUAGCGAAAGCGAGUCUUAACUGGGCGUUCAGUCUCUGGAUAUAGACCCGAAACCGGGUGAUCUAGCCAUGGGCAGGUUGAAGGUUGAGUAACAUCAACUGGAGGACCGAACCGACUAAUGUUGAAAAAUUAGCGGAUGACUUGUGGCUAGGGGUGAAAGGCCAAUCAAACUCGGAGAUAGCUGGUUCUCCCCGAAAGCUAUUUAGGUAGCGCCUCGGACGAAUACUACUGGGGGUAGAGCACUGUUAAGGCUAGGGGGUCAUCCCGACUUACCAACCCUUUGCAAACUCCGAAUACCAGUAAGUACUAUCCGGGAGACACACGGCGGGUGCUAACGUCCGUCGUGGAGAGGGAAACAACCCAGACCGCCAGCUAAGGUCCCAAAGUAUUGCUAAGUGGGAAACGAUGUGGGAAGGCUCAGACAGCUAGGAUGUUGGCUUAGAAGCAGCCAUCAUUUAAAGAAAGCGUAAUAGCUCACUAGUCGAGUCGGCCUGCGCGGAAGAUGUAACGGGGCUAAGCAAUACACCGAAGCUGCGGCAAUAUCUUUUAGAUAUUGGGUAGGGGAGCGUUCUGUAAGCCGUUGAAGGUGAAUCGUAAGGUUUGCUGGAGGUAUCAGAAGUGCGAAUGCUGACAUGAGUAACGACAAAGGGGGUGAAAAACCUCCUCGCCGGAAGACCAAGGGUUCCUGUCCAACGUUAAUCGGGGCAGGGUGAGUCGACCCCUAAGGUGAGGCCGAAAGGCGUAAUCGAUGGGAAACGGGUUAAUAUUCCCGUACUUCUGACUAUUGCGAUGGGGGGACGGAGAAGGCUAGGUGGGCCAGGCGACGGUUGUCCUGGUUCAAGUGCGUAGGCUUGAGA
rnacentral:rRNA from 1 species